AGGACGGGUCUGCGGCCCGGCACGCCGGAGACGUCGUUCCUCGGAAAUGACAGCACAGAAAAACAGCAUCUAUGAAAUAAGAGCCAGCGGACCCUGUCAUCUUGUAGUAGCGACAAAAUCAUAACCAACCCCCAAAUAGCCAAACUGAUUGCAGAAAUACCCAGAGCAGGGAUGCUGGAAUCUUGUGGAACAAAGAAUCUAAUCGCUGGUGGAAUGUUAGAAACUUCUGAGAAUUCUACCAGAGUCACAGAUAUAAAAAUAAUCUUCUAAGCUGGGCGCCAGAGGCUCACGCCUGUUAUCCUAGCUACUCAGGAG